GGGAAGCCGUGAUGCGGAGCGAAAUAAAGUAGCGAAGUCCGUGAGCCAUGCGUCAAGAAAAGCCGCUAUCGUUUAUACCGUACCCGUACCGUAAACCGACACAGGUGGAUGAGGAGAGAAUCCUAAGGCCGGCGGAAGAAGCAUUGUCAAGGAACUCGGCAAAAUGGCCCCGUAACUUAGGGAUAAGGGGUGCCUGGGAAACCGGGCCGCAGAGAAUAGGCUCAAGCAACUGUUUAGCAAAAACACAGGUCUAUGCGAAACCGAAAGGUGAGGUAUAUGGGCUGACGCCUGCCCGGUGCUGGAAGGUUAAGAGGAGAGGUUAGCGCAAGCGAAGCUUUGAAUUUAAGCCCCAGUAAACGGCGGCCGUAACAAUAACGGUCCUAAGGUAGCGAAAUUCCUUGUCGGGUAAGUUCCGACCCGCACGAAAGGCGUAAUGAUUUGAGCGCUGUCUCGACAAUGCAUCCGGUGAAAUUGAAGUACCAGUGAAGAUGCUGGUUACCUGCGCCAGGACGGAAAGACCCCAUGGAGCUUUACUCCAGUUUGGUACUGGGACUCGGUAUUGCAUGUACAGGAUAGGUGGGAGGCUAGGAGAUAGUAACGCCAGUUAUUAUGGAGCCGCUGUUGGGAUACCACCCUUGCAGUAUUGGGUUUCUAACCAGCCGCCGUGACCCGGCGGUGGGACAAUGCCAGACGGGGAGUUUGACUGGGGCGGUCGCCUCCGAAAGGGUAUCGGAGGCGCCCAAAGGUUCCCUCAGAAUGGACGGAAACCAUUCGAAGAGUGCAAAGGCAGAAGGGAGCUUGACUGCGACACCGACGGGUGGAGCAGGUACGAAAGUAGGGCUUAGUGAUCCGGUGGUAUUAAGUGGGAAUGCCAUCGCUCAACGGAUAAAAGCUACCCUGGGAUAACAGGCUUAUCACUCCCAAGAGUUCACAUCGACGGAGUGGUUUGGCACCUCGAUGUCGGCUCAUCGCAUCCUGGGGCUGUAGUAGGUCCCAAGGGUUGGGCUGUUCGCCCAUUAAAGCGGUACGCGAGCUGGGUUCAGAACGUCGUGAGACAGUUCGGUCCCUAUCCGGCGUGGGCGUAGGAUAUCUGAGAGGAGCUGUCCUUAGUACGAGAGGACCGGGAUGGACGGGCCGCUGGUGCAUCGGUUAGACUGCCAAGUCUACGGCCGAGUAGCCAAGCCCGGAAGGGAUAAACGCUGAAGGCAUCUAAGCGUGAAGCCCUCCUUAAGAUGAGAUAUCCUAUUCGAAAGAAGUAAACCCCCUUGAAGACGACGAGGUAGAUAGGGCAGAGGUGGAAGUGUGGCAACACAUGGAGCUGACUGUUACUAAUCGGGUGAGGGCUUGAUC
rnacentral:rRNA from 1 species